AGUGAACGCUGGCGGUAGGCCUAACACAUGCAAGUCGAACGGCAGCACAGUAAGAGCUUGCUCUUACGGGUGGCGAGUGGCGGACGGGUGAGGAAUACAUCGGAAUCUUCUUUUUCGUGGGGGAUAACGUAGGGACACUUACGCUAAUACCGCAUACGACCUACGGGUGAAAGCAGGGGAUCUUCGGACCUUGCGCGUUAGAAUGAGCCGAUGUCGGAUUAGCUAGUUGGCUGGGUAAAGGCCCACCAAGGCGACGAUCCGUAGCUGGUCUGAGAGGAUGAUCAGCCACACUGGAACUGAGACACGGUCCAGACUCCUACGGGAGGCAGCAGUGGGGAAUAUUGGACAAUGGGCGCAAGCCUGAUCCAGCCAUACCGCGUGAGUGAAGAAGGCCUUCGGAUUGUAAAGCCCUUUUAUUGGGAAAGAAAAGCAGCAGGUGAAUACCCCGCUGUUCUGACGGUACCCAAAGAAUAAGCACCGGCUAACUUCGUG
rnacentral:rRNA from 1 species